CAACACAUCGUUUAAGCCUGUCUGAAACACUAGUGACUGAAUUCCAGAAGAUGGGAGAUUGGGAUAUAAAGGAGGAGAUAGCAGAAUCUCCAGGAUCCAGCUUCCCAUCUAUGAGGAGUGACUUGUCCAAAGAACAUCUACUAGACUUCAGUGCAGAACCUGGACCCUCAGACAUAAAAUGGAGGAAGAGGAGUAAACCCCAGUGUGGAGAAAGACCCAAAACUGAAGCUGGAUAGCUGACAGCCAAUCAGAUCAGCUUUGCAGCAGG